GCUGCCAGCUAUGGGAAGCAGGGCCAGGGGUCCACGGCCCACAGGAGGAUCCUCGAUCUCUCCCUGCCAGUCUGCGCUGACCCCAGCUUUUCCACGUCCUGAGUUCUCUAGACUGAGUGCAGCGCAGCGUGCGCGCACACUCACACGCCUGCUUGCAGGAACUGCCGGCCGCUCCUGGAGAGGGAAGAGGGCGGUUCCAGGGGGCUGGGGGCCUGCCAAGAGGCUAAUGGAACACAGCUGGGCCGGCCCGCCAGGCUGGAGGAGGAGGGAGACCGCGAGGGUUCGGCGGCUGCGGAGGCACUGGCCAUUGGCCUGCACCGCCGCGCUCCUGGCCUGGCCCUGCGCCCGGGCCCGCCCGUCCCGCUUCCCCAGCCAGGUGAACAAGCUGCCAGUCUGUGGUCAUCUGCAGAGGGACGCUUUACUGGACAGGUCCUACAAGAAGCCAGGAGCUUCCUUGUGGAGCCCAGCAUCCUCCUCCCAGAGACCUUGGACUCAGAUGUUAUCAGAUGUCCACCCCCAGAACUCCCUUCCUCUCAUCUCCAGGGACUGUCGCUGGCCUACAGCCCAACCAAUGAGCUUAAAUCGAUCUCUGUGAUGAGCCCCAAUUACUGGUCUCAGGACCCUGCCUCAGCAUGGGUCUGGGGUUCCAGGAGAAAGAAGAUAGGACAGUCAUACACCAGCCUUUUCCCUCAGGUAUCCUUGGGACUUUUUCCUACUUUCCCACACCGCCGCUGUCCCUACCAGGGUCCCCAAGACAACAGAUGCCAUGAGAAACUUGGGACCGCCUCUAUACUGGCACUGUGUUAGGAACUUACCCUCCCUGGUCCCAGUGGGACAUGUCACAGUGAGGUUUCUCCUUCUCAAAGGACACUGUGUGACCAGGAGAUGCUGCUGCUGCUCUACUUAAGUUAGGCUGUGCCAUGGGAGCUCCAGCCACGGACACACUGGGCUGUGCAAUGCGGCCCUGAGCUGUGUGACACAUACACAUGAAAAUUUAGAUAGGAAAAAUAAUAACUGAGGCAGAGGAUCAUGAAUUCAAGGUCAGUCUGAGUUACUUGCAAGACCCUGCUGUUAUAGAUAGAUAGAUAAAUAGAUAGAUAGAUAGAU
rnacentral:lncRNA from 1 species